GACGAACGCUGGCGGCGUGCUUAACACAUGCAAGUCGAACGAAGAGCGAUGGAAGCUUGCUUCUAUCAAUCUUAGUGGCGAACGGGUGAGUAACGCGUAUUCAACCUGCCCUUCAGAGGGGGACAACAGUUGGAAACGACUGCUAAUACCGCAUACGAUCUAAUCUCGGCAUCGAGGAUAGAUGAAAGGUGGCCUCUACAUGUAAGCUAUCACUGAAGGAGGGGAUUGCGUCUGAUUAGCUAGUUGGAGGGGUAACGGCCCACCAAGGCGAUGAUCAGUAGCCGGUCUGAGAGGAUGAACGGCCACAUUGGGACUGAGACACGGCCCAGACUCCUACGGGAGGCAGCAGUGGGGAAUCUUCCGCAAUGGACGAAAGUCUGACGGAGCAACGCCGCGUGAGUGAUGACGGCCUUCGGGUUGUAAAGCUCUGUUAAUCGGGACGAAAGGCCUUCUUGCGAAUAGUGAGAAGGAUUGACGGUACCGGAAUAGAAAGCCACGGCUAACUACGUG
rnacentral:rRNA from 1 species